AUUUGUCAAAAGAUUAAGAUGUCUAGUUAUAUAAAAAGUAAAAUAAAUGUGUUAUCUAUCUCUCCUGGUAGACUAUAAAUGCCUUGACAGCAGGUUCAUUGUCUUAUCCACUGCACUAUCUCUAUUAACAGAACAAGCACCUGGAGAGGUGCUAUUAGAGGUGAUUUGGGAAUAUUUGGUGAUUGAAUGAGUAACUCUAUAUAGCCCAUGAGUCACUGCAUCCGAUAAAGUCUCCCUUCCAAACAUCCCACGUAUGUCAUAUUCCAGUGCCACACCCUGCCCAGGCCUUUGCCUCUUCCCUUCUGUUCCUGUAGUCAUCUCUCAAGCCUUCUUGACUCCUUCUCCCUCACUCCCGUCUCUCUCAUUCCAGUUUACCCUAUAGUAAAGUACAGUACCUUGCUAAAGCUUUUCUUUAUUAUAACAUUUCUCUGCAAAUAACAAAAACCUUUCCACUGUAUUCCCAUGACCUAUGUAUACACUAUAAAGCCAGACUCCCCAGUCUGCCAUGCAAGGCCCUUACCAUUCAGUUUGCUUUGGCUUUUCCAACCCUGUUUCUGAGCCUUCCCUGGAAUGAGCCCUCUGCUGUCACACCCGAAUUUCCUCAUUAUCCCUGAACCUGUAGCUCAUUCCCACCUCUGCACGUUUGCUCAGACUGUGCCACAGGACUAGUUGAUUCUCCCCUUAGUUGAACCUCCAGGUAAUAGGAGGCAAGUCAGCAAUGAAUGAUGGGAAACAAGGAAGAAGGAAGCUGGAAGGUGAAAAGCAAAUGUGACCAAACGAGGCCUAAGUGAUCAUCAGGUGGGUUAAGAAGGACUUAGUUAUCAUUGAAAAGCACGCUGCUUGGUAAAAUUAUCUGUACCAGUGCUUUUCAAAUUACUGUGCAGGCACAUAUAUGGGGACUCUUGUACAAAUGCAGAUUCUGGGAGUAGGUCUGGAGUAGGGAGGGGCCUGAGAUUCUGCUUUUUUUUUUUCUGAGACAGGGUCUCACUCUGUCGCCCAGAUUGGAGUCCAGUGGGGUGACCUUGGCUCAUUGCAACCUCCACCUCCCAAGCUCAAGUGAUUCUCCUCCCUAAGCUUCCUGAGUAGCUGGAAUUACAGAUGCGCACCACUACUGCCCAGCUAAUUUUUGUAUUUUUAAUAGAUAUGAGGUUUCACUAUGUGGGCCAGGCUGGUCUUGAACUUCUGACCUCAAAUGAUCCACAUGCCUCAGCCUCCCAAGGUGCUGGGAUUACCAGGCAUGAGCCACCGUGCCCAGCCAGAUUCUACAUUUUUAACAAGCUCCCAGGAAUGCCUGUACUCCUGGUUCUAGGAUAAUUCCUUGAGUACCAAGGAUCUAACUAAAUUCUGAGAAAAGGAGCCUUAACCAGGUGGUUUAUGCCUAUAGUCUCAGCAACUUGGGAGGCUGAGGCAGGAGGAUCACUUGAGCCCAGGAGUUUAAGGCUGCAGUGGGCUAUGAUUGCACCACUACACUCCAGCCUGGACAAUGGAGGGAGACCCUGACUCAAAAAAAAAAAAAAGAAAAGAAAAGGAGCCUUGUCCUUAUGACUUAGAUAUGGGAACAGGAGUUGGUAGGCUGCUGUUAGAGGGCUGUUUAUAUAUCAUGAGAACUCCACAAGAGUCCUAGAGUACAAUGAAGACAUUUCUUGCAUUCUGAACAACUGAAAAAAGUGUGUGAUGGAUUCCACAUGCAAGAUGGCCACAGUCAGCAAGAAGAGACAUCACUAACGGGCUUGCCUGAAACGAGGGAUUCUAACAUUUUCAGAGAACCUUUUGGAGAGAACAAGUUUACUUCAAUAAAUGAAGGAGAAUAAAGAAAAUUCAAGCCCUUCAGUAACUUCAGCAAACCUGGACCACACAGAACCAUGUUGGUACUGGGAUAAGAAAGACUUGGCUCAUACACCCUCACAACUUGAAGACUUGAUCCAACCACUGAGGCCCGGUACCACUGAGAGGGCACUCAGUUCAUCUUUGAUGUGGGCACAUGUUUGGGGCUACACUAUGAUACCCUGGCAACUGGAAUAAUUUAUUUUCAUCGCUUCUAUAUGUGUUAUUCCUUCAAGCAAUUCCCAAGAUAUGUGACAGGAGCCUGUUGCCUCUUUCUGGCUGGGAAAGUAGAAGAAACGCCAAAAAAAAGUAAAGAUAUUAUCAAAACAACUCAUAGUUUAUAAAAUGAUGGACAGUUUGACCAGUUUGGAGGAGGAAGUAAUGAUUCUGGAGAGAAUCUUACUGUAGACCGUCAAGUUUGAUUUAUGGGUGGAACAUACAUACCAGUUCCUACUCAAAUAUGCAAAGCAAUUCAAAGGUGAUAAAAACAAAAUUCAAAAGUUGGUUCAAAUGGCAUGGACAUUUGUAAAUGACAGUCUCUGCACCACCUUGUCACUGCAGUGGGAACCAGAGAUCAUAGCGGUAGCAGUGAUGUAUCUCGCAGGACGUUUGUGCAAAUUCGAAAUACAAGAAUGAACCUCCAAAUCCAUGUAUAGGAGGUGGUGGGAACAGUUUGUUCAAGAUGUCCCAGUUGACGUUUUGGAAGACAUGUGCCACCAAAUCCUGGAUCUUUACUCACAAGGAAAACAACAGAUGCCUCAUCACACCCCCCAUCAGCUGCAACAGCCCCCAUCUCUUCAGCCUGCACCACAAGUGCCGCAAGUACAACAGUCACAACCGUCUCAAGGCUCCGAACCAUCCCAGCCCCAGCAGAAGGACCCCCAGCAACCAGCCCAGUAGCAGCAGCCAGCCCAGCAGCCCAAGAAACCCUCUCUGCAGCCCAGUUCUCCCCAACAGAUUAAGCGAGCCAUGGUUGUUUCUCCCAAAGAAGAGAACAAAGCAGAACCACCUUCAUCUAAAAUUCCCAAGAUUGAGACCACUCACCCACUGUUGCCUCUAGCCUACCCACCUCCAGACUGAAAGCCUCCCCUCACUGCUGCCUUAGGUGAGGCUGAGCCGCCAGGCCCUGUGGAUGCCACUGACCUCCCCAAAGUCCAGAUUCAUCCUCCAGCCCACGUGGCUCCUGUGCACCAGCCACCACCGCUGCUACACCGGCCCCCACCCCCACCCCCCUCCAGCUACAUGUCCACCACCAGCUCCUACAUGUCUGGAGAGGGCUACCAGAGCCUGCAGUCCGUGAUGAAGACUGAGGGGCCCUCCUAAGGCGCCCUGUCCCCCCUCCCCCACUUAUGGCCCGCCCACACACCUGCCCUACCAGCCCGAUGUCUACCCGCCCAACCCACACCCGCCACCUGUGCCUUCUUUCCUGGCCUCCUUCCCCGCACCUGCCAUCGCACCACCUACUCCUGGCUACCCCCCACCCCUACCCACCUAUAACCCCAACUUCCCACCCCCACCCCCACACCUGCCCCCCACCCACGCAGUCACCUCUUCCAGGCUUGGGCUUGCCACCAGCCAGCUACCCAUCUCCUGCUGUGCCCCCUGGAGGACAGCCCCCUGUGCCCCCACCCCAUCCCCCACCUGGCAUGCCUCCAGUUGGGGGGCUGGGGUGGGCAGCCUGGAUGAGAUAACAUGAGGCUUUUCCCCUCCUUUUUUUUUUAAAACAAGUUUUUCUAAUUGGCUUGCAGAGUAGUUGAAGUGGGGAAGCAGAAAGGUACCUUGUAUAAUGUGUGACCGUUGGAGUAUGGGAGGAAUGGACCAGGCUCCUGGGAUAAAAUCGGGGUGGUCCUCAUCUGGAGGAUGGGAACAGCCAGCUUUCAGAGUAGCUUCAUCAGUGCCCUUGCAGUCUGACGGUGUACACUCGGUUCAGCUCACGUCUGAGAGUCCUGCACUGGGUUACUUUAUACUAGUGAAGAUGUUAACCAGCCAAAUUGGCUCAAUAAAUAGCUUUGAUAAGGAGUUGAUUUCCUUCUAGAAAUCAGUGCCUACUUUUCUGGGAAACUCAAUUUUAAAUAGUCCAAUUCCAUCUGAAGUCAAGCCAUUGUCAUUUUCAUUCAAUGAUGUUCUCUCUCCCAUGACACCCAGAAGGGUCAGAAGAACCAUAUUUUUCAUUUAUAGAUGUUUGCAUCCUUUGUAUUAAAGUUUUUUUGAAGGGGUUAAAAAAUGUGUGAUGAUUCAAGUCUUCUUGAUGAAAGGGGGGUGCUGAAAACUCGGGACAAAGUUGAAUGUAUAAGGCUGCAGCUUAAAGGGAAGAAACAUCUUUAAUCCUAGAAUGGUGGCACUGAAAAUCGCCAUUGGGAAAUGAAAAGAUUCUAAUGCUGGUUGGGCUGCUGGCCUGUCGUUACACAUACACGUACACGCGCACAAUCAUACUCACAC